rnacentral:rRNA from 1 species
GGGGAAUACUGCGCAAUGGGCGAAAGCCUGACGCAGCAACACCGCGUGAGGGAUGACGGCCUUCGGGUUGUAAACCUCUUUCAGCAGGGACGAAGCGAAAGUGACUGUACCUGCAGUAGAAGCGCCGGCUAACUACGUGCCAGCAGCCGCGGUAAUACGUAGGGCGCAAGCGUUGUCCGGAUUUAUUGGGCGUAAAGAGCUCGUAGGCGGUCUGUCGCGUCGGAUGUGAAAACCCGGAACUCAACUCCGGGCCUGCAUUCGAUACGGGCAGACUUGAGUACUGCAGGGGAGACUGGAAUUCCUGGUGUAGCGGUGGAAUGCGCAGAUAUCAGGAGGAACACCGGUGGCGAAGGCGGGUCUCUGGGCAGAAACUGACGCUGAGGAGCGAAAGCGUGGGGAGCGAAC